AUGGUGUUAGGGGAGUUUAAGAGGAGAGUUAACGUGGCACACGAGGAUUGGUUGGGCGUAAGAGAGGGGACCCACCUCUUAGGAUGAGGGUGUGCUUCCAUACGUAUAAAUAAACCUCAAAUUAAAGAUGUCAACAUAUUUUGAAUUCCAACAUGUCGGGAACUUUUCCAUUCUGAUUUUCUAAAAUAACAUUUUCAAAUUUGUGUCAUAAGUAAGUACAUACUUUGCAUAAUGUGAAAACAAUCUAUUUCAUUGAAACAUGAUUUUUUUUUCAAAAGGAUAUUACAUUUUUAUUCUUUCAAAUUUAUAAACUUUGACAUGUGAAUUCUUUUAAACACAAAUUUUAUUCCACAAAACUAACAAGGCUGUAAUAAUUAACUACAAGAAAAUAAUCAUAUAAAACUAAGACAUUUCUAUUCAUCCUCCUUAAGGUUUAGCCCUUUCGCCCUGCUUUUAAUCCAUAAAAAGCUCAUAACUUUCACCUCCUCUAGGAUCCGCUGAGAACUCGCCUUCUUACCAUUGAUAAUAACAUUGUUUAGAGCCAAGGCCAGUCCAAAGGAUUCAAGGGUUCUGUACGAGCCCGAAAAAAGGCCCUUAGGCCUUAAUGAAUUAAAUUAUAUAAACUAUUUUUUUAAAUGUUGUUAUUACUUAUAAGGUUAAUGGAUCAAUAUUGGACAUUUUAUAUUUGGGCUAAGCUUUAUAAAUAAACAUUCGCAAUAAGUUUUUCAGCUUUACAAAUCAUUAUUGCAUUGUUAUUUGUGCUUGGACCAUGGGUAAUGGUUAAUUCCGUUAAGAGGCAUUUUCCGCUACAUUAGCGCCAACUCAGCAUAACUCUUUUUUCGCCAUAUGUCUAAUGAUUAAUACCAUUUAAUGCCCUUUUAAUCAUUGCCCAAUUAUUUUUUAUUUUACAUUGUUUAUUCCACUAUUUUCAAAUAAAAAUAAA
rnacentral:lncRNA from 1 species